UUAGGAAUCAUUUGCAAUGCGCGCAAGCGUGACAAUUUGAGCCAGAGUGCUCUUCAUUUGAAGAGCUUUUGCCAAAUGUAAAAAGUUUGGCGAAUAAGGACUGGGCAAGACUAGUGCCAGCCGCCGCGGUAAUACUAGCUGUCCGAGUCGCAGCCACAAUUAUUGGGUCUAAAACAUCCGUAGCUUGCUUGAUAAGUUUCUUGUGAAAUCCUGUCUCUUAAGGGCAGGGCGUGCAAGAAGUACUGUGAAGCUAGAGACUGGGAGACGUAAGAAGUACGUUCAAAGUAGUGGUAAAAUACGUUAAUCUUGAGCGGACUAACAAUAGCGAAGGCAUCUUACGAGAACAGUUCUGACAGUAAGGGAUGAAGGCUAGGGGCGCAAAUUGGAUUAGAUACCCCGGUAGUCCCUGAGCGGGCUGGCAAGGCGCAU
rnacentral:rRNA from 1 species